GAUGAACGCUGGCGGCGUGCCUAAUACAUGCAAGUCGAGCGAACGGACGAGAAGCUUGCUUCUCUGAUGUUAGCGGCGGACGGGUGAGUAACACGUGGAUAACCUACCUAUAAGACUGGGAUAACUUCGGGAAACCGGAGCUAAUACCGGAUAAUAUUUUGAACCGCAUGGUUCAAAAGUAAAAGACGGUCUUGCUGUCACUUAUAGAUGGAUCCGCGCUGCAUUAGCUAGUUGGUAAGGUAACGGUUUACCAAGGCAACGAUGCAUAGCCGACCUGAGAGGGUGAUCGGCCACACUGGAACUGAGACACGGUCCAGACUCCUACGGGAGGCAGCAGUAGGGAAUCUUCCGCAAUGGGCGAAAGCCUGACGGAGCAACGCCGCGUGAGUGAUGAAGGUCUUCGGAUCGUAAAACUCUGUUAUUAGGGAAGAACAUAUGUGUAAGUAACUGUGCACAUCUUGACGGUACCUAAUCAGAAAGCCACGGCUAACUACGUG
rnacentral:rRNA from 1 species